GAUGAACGCUGGCGGCGUGCCUAAUACAUGCAAGUCGAGCGGACAGACGAGGAGCUUGCUCCUCUGACGUUAGCGGCGGACGGGUGUGUAACAUGUGGAUAACCUACCUAUAAGACUGGGAUAAUUUCGGGAAACCGGCGCUAAUACCAGAGAAUAUAUUGAACCGCAGGGUUGAAUGGUGAAAGACGGUUUUGCUGUCACUUAUAGAGGGAUCCGCGCCGCAGUGGCUGGUUGGUAAGGUAACGGCUUACGAAGGCAACUAUGCGUAGCCGACCUGAGAGAGUGGUCGGCCACACUGGAGGUGAGACGCGGUCCAGACUCCUACGGGAGGCAGCAGUAGCGAAUCUUCCGCAAUGGGCGAGAGCCUGACGGAGCAACGCCGCGUGAGUGAUGAAGGUCUUCGGAUCGUAAAACUGUGUUACUAGGGAAGAACCAAUGUGUAAGUAAAUGUGCACGUCUUGACGGUACCUAAUCAGAAAGCAACGGCUAACUACGUG
rnacentral:rRNA from 1 species